AAUGCUGUUAUAAAUACUUGCAUGUUACCUGACACUGUUAUUGUCACUGCAGAAGCCUGGCAGCACUUUGAAGGGAUGACUGCUCUAGAUGCUGAUAUUGUUUUGCAUGAUUUUACAAAUAGUUUGUAGUGCAAAAAUGAAGAACAAGGAAAAGCAGUCCUGUCAGCUUUUGUAAUUCUAUGCAUGGAAAUGGCAAAUGGGACGGAGGUCAAGGCAUUACAAUGCACGAAUACAGCUCUUCAGCAAGUCAAUACCUUAAUGCAACCGAGAAGCAUAGUUGAUGGGUUACAAUAUAAAAACAAGCACAAAGCAGUAGUUUAUAAAUAAAAGGAAACUUUUCAAACC